ACACUCCACUGCCCUGUUCGUCACACCCCUCUCUUCGCUCCCCUCUUCCUCACUCCCCUCUCUCGGUCAUCUCUCUCCCUCAUCUCUCUCACACCUAAUACUCUUCUUUCUCGCUCAUCUCUCCUGCACCUAUCUGAAAAUCCUAAAAUCGAUUAGGACAAUAAUUUGGGGAAAACCCUACAAUUGAUUAGAGUUUUAAUUGAUUGUGUUUGAGCUUCUGUUAGAGAUUUUGAAGGAGGAUAUAUAUAUGUAUCAGAUUGUUAGAGCAGAAAAAUGGAGUUGCUCGUAGAAUAUCUUCCUCAGAGUACAGAGCUCAACUAUACCAUUAUCUGAAGAGCCGAAUGAACUAUAUAGCUCCAAGUCUAACUUCUCUUGUUGGAGAACUUGUUGGUGCUCAAUCUAGAAAGCAAAGAACUAGGCCAUGCUUGUCAUACAGCUAAAGGCAAACACAUGAUUGAGUUCUAUGAUAAGGACCGCAAGAAAGGAGAUGUUGGUGGAUCGCUAGGCAGAGAUGCUGCUAGUGGAAGGGGAGUACUUGUUGCAACUGAAGACUCACUUAGUAAAAAUCAUGUGUGCGAGCUUCGAGAUCAGAUUAAUGUUACAUAGGGUGUUGCUUGUGACAUAUAUGAUGACAAUUGGUAUGUCACAACCUUAAAUCAGUUUACUGGCCAAGUCCCGGACAGGUUUGGUACACUGAGUAAGCUCUUGAUCUUGGACUUCAGCAGAAAUUCUCUGUCAGGGACUCUGUCUUAUACUUUAAGCACGCUAAACACCUUGAUAUUGAAGAGAUGUGGGCUGAUGAUGCAAGUGAGGAUGACAAAGAGGACAAUGGUGAGGAUGAUGACAAUAGUGAGGAAGAUGACAUUGCCCAGAAAGGUGACGAUGACGGGGAUGACAAUAAUUGAUAUCUUCGUGAUUAAUUAUAAGUACUUAUAUUUUCAUACUUUUGGUAAGUUGGUUGUUUUGGCAGGAAAGACUAAAUUUCAUGUAAGAUUGUGUAUGUAAAUUAUGUGUUUCGACUUUAAACUCAAGUUCUAAAAGUAAGGUGAUGUAGUAGCUGACUUAUUUUGAUACUAUAUGUUCUAUUGGAUUUGCAAUGAAGCAAAUUUGGAAUGUUGUUUCUGGUUUGGUAUAA